UGGCGAACGGUUUACUGUUUAUGUUGUGGUGCCAAUGUGGCCUGAGGGUGUUCCCGAGAGUGCAUCUGUGCAAGCAAUUCUGGACUGGCAAAGGAGAACAAUGGAGAUGAUGUACACUGACAUCACACAAGCUCUCGAGGCAAAGGGAAUUGAAGCAAACCCCAAGGAAUACCUCACUUUCUUCUGCCUAGGUAACCGGGAGGUGAAGCAGGAUGGGGAAUAUGAACCCCAGGAGCAACCAGAACCUGAUACUGAUUACGUCCGUGCUCAAGAGGCUAGGAGGUUCAUGAUCUACGUUCAUACCAAAAUGAUGAUAGGUACUCCUUCAGUUCUACUUAACCUGUGGUUUGCAUCAUCUUUUUUUAUAUCUAAAGCAUGUUGAAGCAGCGCAUUUUCUAAUGUUUGCAUGUGUUCAUCCAUUUUUCCAUGGUAGUUCACUGGAAAACUGAUCGCAACUCAAAUUCAGUUUCCUUCCUUCAAAGAUCAGACAGAGGCUUAAGUUUUUAAUUCGUACAAAGAAUUGAAUAUCUAGAAUGUGCUCGUCAUAUGCUUCUUACAACUAUAUUUCCUUUAAAGAUUGCAUUCUUGCUCCUGAUUCGUCUCUUAAAAUCAACGGAAAAAAGAAACUAUUACAUUGUUCUCUUGUGUGGAUUGUAAGGAUCCAGUUAUUUGGCCAAGCUGCUAACUUCACCUCUUCCAUUUUCAGUUGAUGACGAGUACAUCAUCAUUGGGUCUGCAAACAUCAACCAAAGGUCAAUGGACGGUGCCCGGGACUCCGAGAUUGCCAUGGGCGCUUACCAGCCAUACCAUCUAGCCAACAGGGAGCCAGCCCGGGGCCAGAUCCACGGCUUCCGGAUGGCGCUGUGGUACGAGCACCUGGGCAUGCUGGACGACGUGUUCCAGCGCCCGGAGAGCGUGGAGUGCGUGCAGAAGGUGAACAGGAUCGCCGAUAAGUACUGGGACAUAUACUCGAGCGACGACCUGGAGCAGGACCUCCCCGGCCACCUGCUGAGCUACCCCAUCGGCGUCGCCAGCGACGGCGUGGUGACGGAGCUGCCGGGCAUGGAGUUCUUCCCCGACACCCGGGCCCGCAUCCUCGGCGCCAAGUCGGACUACCUUCCCCCCAUCCUCACCACAUAGAUAAGAUCGCAUCCUGCAUUUCCUGUGUGUGGCCUCAGUUUGGUGGUUCCUUUGGUGAUUCAGAACUUGUGUUCCAGAAAAUAGCAGGCUGUUAUAGUUGUGGGACAGUUAAUAAGCGCAGUGGUGUGCAUGGUUGAGAACCACGGUAGUGACUAGGAGGAUUGCUGAUACUUUACACGGUUUCUGCUGUUUGUAUUACUGUUUAAUUAUAAAUUGUCAAUGUUUAGUUGUUUACGCUCGUACCUACUUGGAUCUUCAAUGGUGGACAAUAAAGUUAACGCGUGUUUCUUAUUGUAUGAUGGAUAUGUAGAUAGAUUUUUUCCCCCAAUGUGUGGUAUCAGAGUGCUGUAUGUUUGGUUUUUCCACUGAAUAAGUAAGCUGUAUAAUUCUACCAUUUCUAUAGUGCAAGAUUUGUGCCAU
rnacentral:lncRNA from 1 species